GCGCUCCCUUCCACAGCACAUAUACUAACACUGGAACAAUACAGAGAAGAUUAGCAUGGCCCCCGUGCAAAGGACCCCUAGGAAACAGGAAAGUUU
rnacentral:snRNA from 1 species